rnacentral:rRNA from 1 species
GACGUAGGGCGCGAGCGUUGUCCGGAUUUAUUGGGCGUAAAGAGCUCGUAGGCGGCUUGUCGCGUCGACUGUGAAAACCCACGGCUUAACUGUGGGCUUGCAGUCGAUACGGGCAGGCUAGAGUUCGGUAGGGGAGACUGGAAUUCCUGGUGUAGCGGUGAAAUGCGCAGAUAUCAGGAUGAACACCGGUGGCGAAGGCGGGUCUCUGGGCCGAUACUGACGCUGAGGAGCGAAAGCGUGGGGAGCGAACAGG